AUAGAAAAAAAAAACCCCUCCCGAAACUAUCCCCCCAAAAAUCGUGACGAGAUCCUCCAGCCCUCCCAUCCUCCGGCUCCACCACCAGCCCCCCUUCCUCCGGCGCGAUCCCUAGGCUCCCCCGCAAUCCCUGCAGCAUAUUCAGCACAAAUCUCCGACCAUCGAGACCUCUCUCCGCCUCCCUGCAGUCGACGCGAGCAUCGAGACCUCUCAUCCAAGACUCUUCGUACCGGAGUAGGAAAAAGUUUGAUCUUUUUUAGUUUGUGAUUUGAGGUGGUCCAUGGCAAGAAAGAGUUUUUACAUCGCUCGUGAUUCAGCAUCCAACUCAAGGCGUGUCCAGACACCUGUUUAUGUCCCGACACCUGAUUCUGCAUUGAGCUCAAGGACUACUAUUCCCCCCAUCUACGCUUUUGCAUUAGGUUCAGUGUUUACAAUAUUAGUGUUGGUAGUAUGUAUUGUUUUAGUAUUUAUUAUUUUCUAUAUUGCAAAAAUUAUGUGAUUGUGAGAACUUAUGUAUCUGGUAAGAAAUUAUGUAUCUGGUGUGAUUGGGAGAACUUAUGUAUCUUGUAAGAACUUAUUGUGUAUCUGAUGUUAUGAAAAUUUGAGAUGCCUGAAGAUGAAA